AUUGAACGCUGGCGGCAUGCUUUACACAUGCAAGUCGAACGGUAACAGGUCUUCGGAUGCUGACGAGUGGCGAACGGGUGAGUAAUGCAUCGGAACGUGCCCAGUCGUGGGGGAUAACGCAGCGAAAGCUGCGCUAAUACCGCAUACGAUCUAUGGAUGAAAGCGGGGGACCGUAAGGCCUCGCGCGAUUGGAGCGGCCGAUGUCAGAUUAGGUAGUUGGUGGGGUAAAGGCCCACCAAGCCAACGAUCUGUAGCAGGUCUGAGAGGAGGACCAGCCACACUGGGACUGAGACACGGCCCAGACUCCUACGGGAGGCAUCAGUGGGGAAUUUUGGACAAUGGGCGCAAGCCUGAUCCAGCAAUGCCGCGUGCAGGAAGAAGGCCUUCGUGUUGUAAACUGCUUUUGUACGGAACGAAACGGUUCUCUCUAAUACAGAGGGCUAAUGACGGUACCGUAAGAAUAAGCACCGGCUAACUACGUGCCAGCAGCCGCAGUAAAAC
rnacentral:rRNA from 1 species